CCUACGGGGGGCUGCAGUGGGGAAUAUUGGACAAUGGGCGAAAGCCUGAUCCAGCCAUGCCGCGUGUGUGAAGAAGGCCUUCGGGUUGUAAAGCACUUUCAGUGGGGAAGAAAGCCUUGGGGCUAAUACCCUCGAGGAAGGACAUCACCCACAGAAGAAGCACCGGCUAACUCCGUGCCAGCAGCCGCGGUAAUACGGAGGGUGCGAGCGUUAAUCGGAAUUACUGGGCGUAAAGCGCGCGUAGGCGGUCUGAUAAGCCGGUUGUGAAAGCCCCGGGCUCAACCUGGGAACGGCAUCCGGAACUGUCAGGCUAGAGUGCAGGAGAGGAAGGUAGAAUUCCCGGUGUAGCGGUGAAAUGCGUAGAGAUCGGGAGGAAUACCAGUGGCGAAGGCGGCCUUCUGGACUGACACUGACGCUGAGGUGCGAAAGCGUGGGUAGCAACCAGGAUUAGAUACCCCGGUAGUC
rnacentral:rRNA from 1 species